rfam:Stenotrophomonas panacihumi strain JCM 16536 contig_57, whole genome shotgun sequence.
GGCCCCGUAGCUCAGCUGGAUAGAGCGUCCCCCUCCUAAGGGGAAGGUCGCCCGUUCGAAUCGGGCCGGGGUCA